AUAGAUUUCCUUGAUUUAGUAAUGAUAUUGCUCGUAGAAAUUGAUAAUGUGAAGAAUCACAAUACAGGAACAUAGAAUAACAAGAAAGAAAUUCUAGUAGCAAGUUAGGUUACGAGAUAAAUUUUAUUUAUAUAGUUUGUUUAAAGAGUUUAGUUUGAAAAAAAGGUAAAACAAUUAUUAUUGUCCAGGUCAUAUUUGAUAACUGUUGUUAAUUGAUAACAUAUUACAGGGACACAGUAAAAAGACAAAACAUUUAAACCCUUUGAAAGAGAAAUGUUUGCAAUGGAUAUUAAUAAAUUCUAGCCAAUUUGUACAAUGUACAAUGCAGGAAAUAUUUCUGCCUCCUAACGCACUAUUCGCGUAAAAGAAGAUGUGGGUAUUGUAUUUAUAGAACAGAUUUAUUAUUAGUUGGCUAGUGUGUUAGUAGGAUAGCCAUUGGUAGUUAUAAAGUAUGAAGUCAGGUAUUAAUAAUAGGAAUUGAUCAAAGCUUAUACAUUUAUUGUGAUAUUUAUAUUGUGAAUUUAAGUAGUUAGUUUUGGUUGUUUAAUAAACGAAUUAAUGUGC
rnacentral:lncRNA from 1 species